rnacentral:rRNA from 1 species
GUAACGCCCUACCACGCCUAUUAUUGUUACCCUGCCUGAGAUGCCGACCGGCCACACUGGGACUGAGACACGGCCCAUACUCCUGCGGGAGGCAGCAGUGGGGAAUAUUGCGCAAUGGGCGAAAGCCUGACGCAGCGACGCCGCGUGGGGGAUGACGGCCUUCGGGUUGUAAACCUCUUUUACCACCAACGCAGGCUCGGAGUUUUCUUCGGGUUGACGGUAGGUGGGGAAUAAGGACCGGCUAACUACGUGCCAGCAGCCGCGGUAAUACGUAGGGUCCGAGCGUUGUCCGGAAUUAUUGGGCGUAAAGAGCUCGUAGGCGGCGUGUCGCGUCUGCUGUGAAAGACCGGGGCUUAACUCCGGUUUGGCAGUGGAUACGGGCAUGCUAGAGGUAGGUAGGGGAGACUGGAAUUCCUGGUGUAGCGGUGAAAUGCGCAGAUAUCAGGAGGAACACCGGUGGCGAAGGCGGGUCUCUGGGCCUUACCUGACGCUUAGGAGCGAAAGCAUGGGGAGCGAACAGGAUUAGAUACCCUGGUAGUCCAUGCCGUAAACGUUGGUCGCUAGGUGUGGGACUUAUCACGGCUUCCGCGCCGAGAUAACGGAUUAAGCGCGCCGCCUGGGGAGUACGGCCGCGAGGCUAAAACUCACAGUAAUUUACGGGGGCUCGCACAACAGACAGAGCAUGUUCCUAAUUCGACUCAAGCCCAAGAAUCGUAACAAGGUCUGACUCCUCGUGGAAUCGCGGAAGAUAGAGGACAUUUGUUGGCG